rnacentral:misc_RNA from 1 species
AUUUGAGCUAGCAGUAGCACAAUACUCAUAGUAGGAAGCUAAACAAGAAGAUUAACAAUGGGGAAAUUUGCAAUAACAAUGAUGGGUUUUCUGCUUUUGUGUUUCUGUGCUGAAGCAGUUUACAUGAAGUACAAGGACCCAAAACAGCCAUUGAAUGUUAGAAUCAGGGAUUUGAUGAACAGAAUGAGCCUUGAAGAGAAAAUAGGUCAGAUGACCCAGAUUGAGAGACAUGUAGCUUCACCUCAGAUCAUGAGGAAAUACUUCAUUGGGAGUGUACUGAGUGGUGGAGGAAGUGUGCCAUUUCCAAAGGCUACUGCUGCUGACUGGGUGAAGAUGGUAAAUGAGAUUCAAAAGGGUUCACUUUCAACACGCCUUGGUAUUCCCAUGAUUUAUGGAAUUGAUGCAGUGCACGGGCACAACAAUGUCUACAAAGCAACAAUUUUUCCACACAAUGUUGGCCUUGGAGUCACAAGAGACCCACAGCUUGUAAAGCGGAUUGGAGCUGCGACUGCCCUUGAAGUCAGAGCCACAGGAAUCCCUUACACUUUUGCACCGUGCAUCGCAGUCUGCAGAGAUCCAAGAUGGGGUCGGUGCUAUGAAAGCUAUAGUGAAGAUCAUAGAAUUGUCCAGGCAAUGACUGAGAUCAUUCCUGGUUUACAAGGAGAUGCUCCGGCUAACUCCCGUAAGGGUGUUCCGUUUGUCGGAGGAAAGACAAAAGUAGCAGCCUGUGCUAAGCACUUUGUGGGAGAUGGUGGCACUACCAAGGGCAUUGAUGAAAAUAACACUGUUAUUGAUAUGAAUGGGCUACUUAACAUCCACAUGCCUGCAUAUUUUGAUUCAAUUUUAAAGGGAGUUUCCACAAUAAUGGUCUCUUACUCAAGCUGGAAUGGAAAGAGGAUGCAUGCAAACCGUGACCUAAUCACUGGCUUUCUCAAGGGAAAGCUGAAGUUCAGGGGUUUUGUCAUAUCAGAUUGGGAGGCAAUUGACAAGAUUACUGAACCGCCUCGUGCAAAUUACUCUUACUCUGUUCAGGCUGGAGUUCUUGCUGGACUCGACAUGAUUAUGGGUCAGGAGAAUUUGGUUGAAUUUCUUGAUGAUCUGGCUUUCCAAGUAAGGAACAAUAUCAUUCCCAUGAGCAGGAUAGAUGAUGCAGUUAUGAGAAUACUAAGGGUUAAGUUUGUCAUGGGUCUCUUUGAGAACCCAUUGGCUGAUCUCAGCUUAGCAAACCAACUAGGAAGCCAGGAACACAGAGAGUUAGCAAGAGAAGCAGUGAGGAAAUCACUUGUACUAUUGAAGAAUGGUAAAGUUACUAACCAGCCACUACUUCCCCUUCCGAAAAAAGUGACGAAGAUACUUGUCGCUGGCAUUCAUGCUGACAAUUUGGGUUACCAGUGUGGAGGCUGGACUAUAAGUUGGCAGGGAAUUGGAGGCAAUGAUCUUACCACAGGAACUACAAUUUUAAAUGCUGUGAAAAAGACAGUCCAUCCAUCUACACAAGUAGUCUACCAGGAGAAUCCAGACGUAAACUUUGUUAAGUCCAACCACUUUUCCUAUGCCAUUGUUGUUGUGGGUGAGACACCCUAUGCGGAGAUGUUUGGCGAUAGUGCAAAGCUUACCAUUGCUGAACCUGGUCCAAGCAUCAUCUCCAGUGUCUGUGGGGUUGUGAAAUGUGUGGUAGUUGUCGUCUCUGGGCGUCCAGUUGUGAUUGAACCGUAUCUUGCAAACAUAGACGCCCUUGUGGCUGCUUGGCUUCCGGGAAGUGAAGGCCAAGGUGUUGCUGAUGUCCUGUUUGGUGACUAUGGAUUCACAGGCAAACUCGCCCGCACUUGGUUUAAGUCAGUUGAUCAGCUUCCCAUGAAUGUUGGUGAUCGACAUUAUGAUCCUUUGUUUCCUUUUGGAUUUGGUCUCACUACUAAGCCUGUGAAGAGCUAAAAUCUCUUCAUCUGGAGUUCUACUUGCUGCUCAAUCUUUAUAUAUUUUUUUGUUUAAUGGAUAUUUAAUAUCAUAAUAUAAGAGUUUACAAG